GGGCCCGCACAAGCGGUGGAGUAUGUGGUUUAAUUCGAUGCAACGCGAAGAACCUUACCAGGGUUUGACAUCCUGCGAAUCUCUUGGAAACAGGAGAGUGCCUUCGGGAACGCAGUGACAGGUGGUGCAUGGCUGUCGUCAGCUCGUGUCGUGAGAUGUUGGGUUAAGUCCCGCAACGAGCGCAACCCACGUCUUUAGUUGCCAGCAUUUAGUUGGGCACUCUAGAGAGACUGCCGGUGAUAAACCGGAGGAAGGUGUGGAUGACGUCAAGUCAUCAUGCCCCUUACAUCCUGGGCUACACACGUGCUACAAUGGCUAAGACAAAGAGUUGCAAUCUCGUAAGAGUUAGCUAAUCUCCUAAACUUAGUCUAAGUUCGGAUUGUAGGCUGCAACUCGCCUAUAUGAAGCAGGAAUCGCUAGUAAUCG
rnacentral:rRNA from 1 species